ACGGAAGGCAGCAGUGGGGAAUAUUGCGCAAUGGGGGCAACCCUGACGCAGCAACGCCGCGUGAUUGAAGACGGUCUUCGGAUUGUAAAGAUCUUUUAUCAAGGACGAAACUCUGACGGUACUUGAUGAAUAAGCUCCGGCUAACUACGUGCCAGCAGCCGCGGUAAUACGUAGGGAGCAAGCGUUAUCCGGAUUUACUGGGUGUAAAGGGCGAGUAGGCGGGCUGGUAAGUUGGGAGUGAAAUGUCGGGGCUUAACCCCGGAACUGCUUUCAAAACUGCUGGUCUUGAGUGAUGGAGAGGCAGGCGGAAUUCCCAGUGUAGCGGUGAAAUGCGUAGAUAUUGGGAGGAACACCAGUGGCGAAGGCGGCCUGCUGGACAUUAACUGACGCUGAGGCGCGAAAGCGUGGGGAGCAAACAGGAUUAGAUACCCUGGUA
rnacentral:rRNA from 1 species